UUAAAUUUUUUAAACAAACAGACCCUCUUACUUAUGAGAAUGAGUUAAUGGACUGAAAAUUCUAAUGUCACUUGAAUUGCAUUCGAUGGCCCAACAGACCCAACCAUUGAGGUUGUGAAUUUUCAAGUUUUCCUUUUACUUUACUUUGAAGCCAUUGUUUUCUAGCUUUCCUUUGCCAACAUCUAUUUCUCCAUCAUGGAACAGACAACUCAGUGACUUUGCUCUUCAAUCAGUCAUCUUCUUGGCGUUAAGGAACAUCAAGUACACAAAUUUGAAACUCCAUGAUAUUUGUUGCACGUGUGAAGUGAUUCCUCAUGGACAAUCAGCUUCAAAGACAACAAACAUCUUUCAAGUUAUCUAGCCAAUUUUUGACAGCAUGGUUUGUGAUCUGUUUCUCUUCAGCAUCAUUUAGUAUUGCUUGAAGACUCAACAGUGUUGUUUUUAGCUUUU